UCAGUGCACAGGCCUCAUGCACUGCGCCAGGGUUGAGGCCAUAGGGAUGUGGGACAGAAGCCCCAGAGAGGAGGGUUUGUUGAGCAACAUGUGGACUGACAGCUCAGCUAGAAGACAAAAGGAGAGGAGCGCAGUGCUGUGGACAGGCCUAGGGAUGGAGGGCUGGCUGCAGGAGUUGGGUGUCUCCAGAGACCAGGUUUCAGGAGAAGGAAGAGCCAAAAGCAGCUCAAGCUCAGAAGGGAUUGUUUUCACUUUGACCUUCUGCUAGGGUGUGCUAUGGGGUGUGCACCCCAUUCUUUGCAAUCGGCAUACAAGGCUGCAGAGAGGCAGAAGAAGACUGGAAGCUGUGCUGUGAGCUGCUGCUUUUUAUUUGGUGCUGUCAUUCUCCUGGUUACAUCCCUGUCACAUGUGUCAGUGCCAGCCUGGGUUUGCUGUGAGCCCUGGCUCCCUUCCAGGUUUGAGGCUGCCUGCAGGUUGCAUCUAGACCUGGAUACAUGGCAAGAAGCUUUCGAGGAUGUUCCUAGAUAUCUUUUUUUGAACAUUAAAUAGAUAACCAAGCUCAAGGUUUGAGUAUGAAGCUUGGGUGAGGAAGAGGAGACAUGGAGAGAAGUCUGGGCAUGGGAUGUGUUUCACAAACUGAGUCUGUGGGAGCUUCCCAUGCAAAUGUUAGCCACAUGAAAAUGUAUCUGUGACUCCUGGCUUGCAGAAACUGGGAUGAUCUGACUGUUUUCAUUUCCUUUCCUCCUCAGGGCAGAAGCCACACCUGCUGCCAUAGCAGCUAUGAGCUAUGUCUCUUUUCCAGCAAGGGAACAGUGGGGAAUGAUUAGUGCCUGUGGAGUCAGCUCACCAAGAGAUUUUGGUAAUGUCACUCUCUGGGGAACUCCGCUGGCUCAUUUGAACCUUGAGCUACCAGCUCAGGGAGUGAUAUUUAAAAGCUCACUGUGACCUGCUGCCUCAUUUCACUGCCAGCCCUAUAGAAGGGAUCUGCAGUAUCUAUGUGGAUCCAUCACCUGGAACAAUGAAGCCUUGAUCUCACCUGUGGGCCUCCUCUGACAAUAGCCAUUGAUAGCUAAUGAAGAGUGAUCUCAGCUGAAGACCGCUUUACCCCUGUGGUACCUACUGCGCAGAAAUCCGUGGGAGGGGAAAGGGAGGCAAGAUGGGCAGGUCCCUGAAAAACUGCUGUUAGAUGUGAAUGCAAAUAAUAGCUGAAAAGGUGGUUGUUUUUUUAUAGAGCCUCACAUUUUUUUCAGCUGCAUCCAGAAACACUUUCCUUUUUAUUCACCUGCAAUACACUUUAGGCAUCUGACAAUGUCAGAGUAGAUGAGCAGCUUACCUGAAGGAUACACAACUGUACAAAUAUGGAUGGGAUGGCAGGUGCUUGCCUUGUGUGUGUUGGGAAACUAUCCAGUCUGCUCAGCCAUUACGCCAGUGAAAGCAAUGAACCUGGUCACGGAUAAUGAAUGACACAGCCCUCUGUGACUAACUGCUCCUCUGCUGCCCAGCCAUGGAGGUUUGAGGAACUAAUCUGUAAACAGAGACUGAUGUAAGCAAAUGGAAGUCAUUAUUCCAGAGAAAGCAAAGCCAAAGGUUUGGUCCCCUGCACAGCCCCUGAAUAAUUAUCCUAUUUGCUCCUCCUGAUAAGUGGAGAAGUGAAAGCGCUUGAUAAAUGGAUCAAAAUACUUGUGCUCUCAUCUGUGCAAGCGUUCCUUAGCAAAGGUUUCACUGUACAUUUCUUAUACUAGAAGGGUAUUCACUUCUGCUAUUUCUGUUGACCAAGCAGUGCAGCCAAUGAGCCACAGCAGCAGCUGGGUGUGCUGCUGCCUCUCAUGGUCAGAGUGCACAGACAGUUUUCCUGCCUGCAGAUGUCUAGAAGUGGGAAAAGGAGGGUGGACUUCCAGGACAAGAGCAGUCAGGACUGAAGAAGACAUUUCAGGGUACAAGAAAGUGCCAGGGUUUAGAGAGAGCAUCCAGCAUCUGUUCAGGCCCUCUGCCAGCCCCUCUUGGGUCAGCUGCCUGUCAAACCCUGCCUAGAUAGAAGGAAAGCAACAUAAGGAGAUACGACUUCUGCUGACAGAGGACAAGUGCUGAAGAAAAGGGGAAAUGACGUGAGAAUCAACUGAUCAAACAGGGAUCAAGGAAAUGUUUACUUUUUCAGUUCUGCCUACAUGCUUAUUAAGCUAGUGCUUGUCAACACAGCCUGCACUGUCCAAGUGAGCAUCCCUCAGGUCCAUGGCCAGCUGUCCUGCUAAAUGUUUUACAUGCAAUACCUGUAAAAACAUUCCUUUGUGGAAUGGGGCAGAAUGACUCUCUUUAUUAAAACUAUAGUGCUGUGGAAGAGCUGCAAUAGCUCCACUCUCUCCCUGAAGCUGAAAAAAGUUCCCUUACGAGAAAAGCAAAAUCGUCUUCUCUUAAGAAAUUGCGACUUUGCUUAGUUGUAGUUCUGAAGGUCAAUUUCAUAAGCAUGGGGAUGCAAGUGGAAGGAUGCAUGCAAGUUUUUAAAAGUAAGUGGUUAUAUAUGCUUUCAACAGUUGUCCCCAAAGCAGAGCUCAAAUAGAAAAGAGAAGAUAAAAAUAAACAUUGCUCAACCCUUUCAUUCAUUACAGGCUGUCAGAUGGGACAGGUGCUAUGGAAAAACUCAUGUGUGACUCUGUCAUUAGAAGUUGAGUCAUCAUGCGAGGGCAGGAAAACGGGUGGAGGGGCUGGGGUGACUGUGGCAACCUUAACUCUAGCAUGGACUGAUCUUUAGAGAAGAGCUGGUCAGAGGCAGAAGUUUCUUGUGUUUUGAGAACUUUCUUCAAACUGAGAAUGAAAAGUAUAAAUUUCCCACAGAUAAAAACUAAGCAAAGUAUUCAAACUCUGUUUUCUGGGAUAAGAGAAUGCUGUUAAACUCUUUGGAUAAUGAUAUGAAUACAAUAAGAACAGUAUGAUGUCAUGAGUUUGAGCAAAAUGGCAGAAUGAAAGAAGAACUCUGAUUCCUUAAAGAAAAUCAGAAAACCAAAAUCUUGUUCUGGACUUUCACUUUGGAAGUACUCUCAGUAUUAAUACUUCGCUACAAA